CCCUCUCAAUCAAUAGAGGCUAGAUCGGACUAAGGAGCGAGACGGUUGAGUACGGAAGCGAAAGCGGAGAUAUAGGCUAGCUAAAUGCCCAGUGAGAAGACUUACAUGAGUAAGGAGAAAUCCGAAUGACUAGUGGCCAUAACUCAUUAAGCAAUCUUAACCUUUUUCGCUUAGCCUUUCCUCUUUCUACCGUUACGAGAUGCAGUAUCCUCAUACGUCUUUGCACGGUUUUCGACCGGGAUUCGGACUCGGACUCGGACUCGGAAUCGGAAGGGAAGAGGUUUCCUCGUUGCAUCUUUACACACAGCAUUGGUUCUGUCCCUUACCUUACCCUUAUCGCCCGUCGGGCGUCAAGGUUCGCAUUAGAUCCCCUUAUCUAUCGUC